UUCCUUUGUACUUCAGCAUGUGUUCUUUCCUUCAUUAUGUGUGGACAAUAUGAUUAUGGAGUGCACAAACAAGACACAAAGACAAAUAUUAAGUGCCGCACACAACAUCCCUACAAAAACUCCUGAAAAAUUGAUUUUGAACCCAAAACUCACGAGGUACCCCGCCGCUAGGUCCCUAGCUUGCACCGGUAGCAUCCCCGAUGGAUUCCCAAGCUGAGGCGCAAUCUGGGGAUAAUUCCUACCGCUGUGCCCAUGUGCCAAAAAAAUAGAUGCAUUAGACAUGUGCAAAAUCAUAUAAUUUUCAUAUAAAAACUAUUCUUGCAGGUUACCAGUGAGAAGUGAUAAACUGUCAACUGUUAUUGUGUACACAGUAACACCAAAAAUAAGCUCCAGUGUCCUAUAUGGCUGAUGUAUGAGUUAGUAGGCUCGCCUUUCGCCAGCUCAAUCCUUGCAAGGACUACUGUAUUCUAGAGAGAUAAAGUAAACUUUGGUAGUUUUGGAUAAAGUAAACUCUGAAGGUCAUUAUGAUUGUAACUCUGCCUCUUUAUCUUAUGCUUUGCAAUUUGCUAAGCAAAAAUCAUCAAGUGCUGAACAUGCGGAUAUUUGAGAAAAAUGUGUUCCAUUCCAAUGUGAAAGUGUUGCACGCUCCAGAAAGUAUAGAAAGUGUGGUGUCGUUUCAUCAUAACAGGAAGUGAGAUACAAAAUCGAGUUUUUUAAUUAGUGUGUGUAUAGAAAAACUAGGAAAAUAUCAUGUGAAAACAAGAGUGCUUCUGCUUAUAUUGGAGCAUACACAAUAAAAUCAUAAAGGAUCUGGCCCA
rnacentral:lncRNA from 1 species